rnacentral:rRNA from 1 species
AACGAACGCUGGCGGCAGGCCUAACACAUGCAAGUCGAGCGAGGUAGCAAUACCUAGCGGCGGACGGGUGAGUAACGCGUGGGAACGUACCCUUUGCUACGGAAUAGCCCCGGGAAACUGGGAGUAAUACCGUAUGUGCCCUUCGGGGGAAAGAUUUAUCGGCAAAGGAUCGGCCCGCGUUGGAUUAGGUAGUUGGUGGGGUAAUGGCCUACCAAGCCGACGAUCCAUAGCUGGUUUGAGAGGAUGAUCAGCCACACUGGGACUGAGACACGGCCCAGACUCCUACGGGAGGCAGCAGUGGGGAAUCUUAGACAAUGGGCGCAAGCCUGAUCUAGCCAUGCCGCGUGAGUGAUGAAGGCCUUAGGGUUGUAAAGCACUUUCAAUCGUGAAGAAAAGUUGCAGGCUAAUACCCUGUGACCUUGACGUUAACGAUACAAGAAGCACCGGCUAACUCCGUGCCAGCAGCCGCGGUAAUGUCACA